UGCCUGUACCAUAACCGACACAGGUGGGUAAGUAGAGUAUACUAAGGGGCGCGAGAUAACUCUCUCUAAGGAACUCGGCAAAAUAACUCCGUAACUUCGGGAGAAGGAGUGCCUUAUUCUUAAGGUUGCAAUAACAAGAUCCAAGCAACUGUUUAUCAAAAACACAGGUCUCCGCUAAGUCGUAAGACGAUGUAUGGGGGCUGACGCCUGCCCAGUGCCAGAAGGUUAAAGAAGUCGGUUAGCAAUAGCAAAGCUGGUAACUGAAGCCCUGGUGAACGGCGGCCGUAACUAUAACGGUCCUAAGGUAGCGAAAUUCCUUGUCGGGUAAGUUCCGACCCGCACGAAAGGCGUAAUGAUUUGGAUGCUGUCUCGGAGAGGGGCUCGGUGAAAUAGACUUGUCUGUGAAGAUGCGGACUACCUGCACCAGGACAGAAAGACCCUAUGAAGCUUUACUGUAACUUGAAAUUGAAAUUGGACUUUAUUCGCGCAGUAUAGGUGGGAGGCGUUGAUUAUAAUCUUGUGGGAUUAUUGGAGCCAUCAGUGAGAUACCACUCUUGUAAUGUUAGAUUUCUAACUUUGAAUCAUUAUCUGGUCAAAGGACAGUUUCAGGCGGGCAGUUUGACUGGGGCGGUCGCCUCCUAAACGGUAACGGAGGCGUACAAAGGUUUCCUCUGAACGGUUAGAAAUCGUAUCUAGAGUGUAAAGGCAUAAGGAAGCUUGACUGUGAGACCUACAAGUCGAGCAGGGACGAAAGUCGGUCUUAGUGAUCUGACGGUACUGAGUGGAAAGGCCGUCACUCAACGGAUAAAAGUUACUCUAGGAUAACAGGCUGAUCUCCCCCAAGAGUUCACAUCGACGGGGAGGUUUGGCACCUCGAUGUCGGCUCAUCGCAUCCUGGGGCGGUAGUACGUCCCAAGGGUUGGGCUGUUCGCCCAUGAGAGCGGUACGCGAGCUGGGUUCAGAACGUCGUGAGACAGUUCGGUCCAUAUCCGGUGUAGGCGCUAGAAUAUUGAGAGGAGCCUUCUUUAGUACGAGAGGACCGAGAAGGACAUACCUCUGGUGUACCAGUUAUCGUGCCAACGGUAAACGCUGGGUAGCUAUGUAUGGAGUGGAUAACCGCUGAAAGCAUCUAAGUGGGAAGCCCACCUCAAGAUAAGUAUUCUCAUCACGUAAGUGAGUAAGGUCACGGUAAGACUAACCGUUUGAUAGGCAUUAAGUGUAAGUACAGUAAUGUAUGUGCUGAGAUGUCCUAAUAGACCGAGGA
rnacentral:rRNA from 1 species